rnacentral:rRNA from 1 species
AGAGUUUGAUCAUGGCUCAGGACGAACGCUGGCGGCGUGCUUAACACAUGCAAGUCGAACGGAAAGGCCCUUCGGGAUACUCGAGUGGCGAACGGGUGAGUAACACGUGGGUGAUCUGCCCUGCACUCUGGGAUAAGCCUGGGAAACUGGGUCUAAUACCGGAUAGGACCGCAUGCUUCAUGGUGUGUGGUGCAAAGCUUUUGCGGUGUGGGAUGAGCCCGCGGCCUAUCAGCUUGUUGGUGGGGUAAUGGCCUACCAAGGCGACGACGGGUAGCCGGCCUGAGAGGGUGACCGGCCACACUGGGACUGAGAUACGGCCCAGACUCCUACGGGAGGCAGCAGUGGGGAAUAUUGCACAAUGGGCGCAAGCCUGAUGCAGCGACGCCGCGUGAGGGAUGACGGCCUUCGGGUUGUAAACCUCUUUCAGUAGGGACCAAGCGAAAGUGACGGUACCUACAGAAGAAGGAUCGGCCAACUACGUGCCAGCAGCCGCGGUAAUACGUAGGGUCCGAGCGUUGUCCGGAAUUACUGGGCGUAAAGAGCUCGUAGGUGGUUUGUCGCGUUGUUCGUGAAAACUCACAGCUUAACUGUGGGCGUGCGGGCGAUACGGGCUGACUAGAGUACUGCAGGGGAGACUGGAAUUCCUGGUGUAGCGGUGGAAUGCGCAGAUAUCAGGAGGAACACCGGUGGCGAAGGCGGGUCUCUGGGCAGUAACUGACGCUGAGGAGCGAAAGCGUGGGUAGCGAACAGGAUUAGAUACCCCGGUAGUCCAA